rnacentral:rRNA from 1 species
GUAACAAGGUNUNCGUUGGUGAACCAGCGGAGGGAUCAUUACCGAGUUUACAACUCCCAAACCCAAUGUGAACGUUACCAAACUGUUGCCUCGGCGGGGUCACGCCCCGGGUGCGUCGCAGCCCCGGAACCAGGCGCCCGCCGGAGGAACCAACCAAACUCUUUCUGUAGUCCCCUCGCGGACGUUAUUUCUUACAGCUCUGAGCAAAAAUUCAAAAUGAAUCAAAACUUUCAACAACGGAUCUCUUGGUUCUGGCAUCGAUGAAAAACGCAGCGAAAUGCGAUAAGUAAUGUGAAUUGCAGAAUUCAGUGAAUCAUCAAAUCUUUGAACGCACAUUGCGCCCGCCAGUAUUCUGGCGGGCAUGCCUGUCCGAGCGUCAUUUCAACCCUCGAACCCCUCCGGGGGAUCGGCGUUGGGGAUCGGGACCCCUCACACGGGUGCCGGCCCCUAAAUACAGUGGCGGUCUCGCCGCAGCCUCUCCUGCGCAGUAGUUUGCACAACUCGCACCGGGAGCGCGGCGCGUCCACGUCCGUAAAACACCCAACUUUCUGAAAUGUUGACCUCGGAUCAGGUAGGAAUACC